GUGCUGUGACAAAUAAAAUUAGAACGAUACAGAGUAGAUGAGCGUGAUCCCUGUGCAAGGGUGACGUGCAGAUUUGUGACGCAGUCUGUAUUUCU
rnacentral:snRNA from 1 species